rnacentral:rRNA from 1 species
UACGUAGGGGGCAAGCGUUGUCCGGAUUCAUUGGGCGUAAAGCGCGUGUAGGCGGCUCGGUAAGUCUGCUGUGAAAGUCCAGGGCUCAACCCUGGAAUGCCGGUGGAUACUGUCGAGCUAGAGUCCGGAAGAGGCGAGUGGAAUUCCUGGUGUAGCGGUGAAAUGCGCAGAUAUCAGGAGGAACACCAAUGGCGAAGGCAGCUCGCUGGGACGGUACUGACGCUGAGACGCGAAAGCGUGGGGAGCAAACAGG